AUGGUUGGACUCAUAGGGAGGGAGCCAGGGGUACAAGGGAAGUCCACCGGUGCAAGUUAUCAUUAGAUUGCUGAACACUUUGGGGAAUGCCCGACUGAUGCGGAUGAUGAAACAGUGCAGUAGUAUACCAGGGCAUACUUGUGGUAUGUAGUCAGCCGGACUCUUUUCUCUGACGGCACUUGCGUGAACGCUUCCUUUAUGUGGCUUAAGUUGGUUGCUGGGUGGGAGCAUGGACUCAGUUGGGGUACGACGGCGUUGGCUUAUUUGUAUCGUCAGGUAAGUAGUUUUGCUUAUAAUAGUGUGUUCACCAUGUAG
rnacentral:rRNA from 1 species